rnacentral:rRNA from 1 species
UUGGUAGCCCUGUAUGGUAUAACUUAGUGGCAGACGGGUGAGUAAUGUAUAGGAAUCUACCUAGUAGUACGGAAUAAUUGUUGGAAACGACAACUAAUACCGUAUACGCCCUACGGGGGAAAAAUUUAUUGCUAUUAGAUGAGCCUAUAUUAGAUUAGCUAGUUGGUGGGGUAAUAGCCUACCAAGGUAAUGAUCUAUAGCUGAUCUGAGAGGAUGAUCAGCCACACUGGAACUGAGAUACGGUCCAGACUCCUACGGGAGGCAGCAGUGGGGAAUAUUGGACAAUGGGCGAAAGCCUGAUCCAGCCAUGCCGCAUGAGUGAAGAAGGCCUUUGGGUUGUAAAGCUCUUUUAGUGAGGAAGAUAAUGACGGUACUCACAGAAGAAGUCCUGGCUAACUCCGUGCCAGCAGCCGCGGUAAUACGGAGAGGGCUAGCGUUAUUCGGAAUUAUUGGGCGUAAAGGGCGCGUAGGCUGGUUAAUAAGUUAAAAGUGAAAUCCCGAGGCUUAACCUUGGAAUUGCUUUUAAAACUAUUAAUCUAGAGAUUGAAAGAGGAUAGGGGAAUUCCUGAUGUAGAGGUAAAAUUCGUAAAUAUUAGGAGGAACACCAGUGGCGAAGGCGUCUAUCUGGUUCAAAUCUGACGCUGAAGCGCGAAGGCGUGGGGAGCAAACAGGAUUAGAUACCCUGGUAGUCCACGCUGUAAACGAUGAAUGUUAAAUAUGGGGAGUUUACUUUCUGUAUUACAGCUAACGCGUUAAACAUUCCGCCUGGGGACUACGGUCGCAAGAUUAAAACUCAAAGGAAUUGACGGGGACCCGCACAAGCGGUGGAGCAUGUGGUUAAUUCGAUGCAACGCGGAAAACCUUACCACUUCUUGACAUGAAAAUCAGACCCUAUUCA